rnacentral:rRNA from 1 species
AUUGAACGCUGGCGGCAGGCCUAACACAUGCAAGUCGAGCGGAGCGGCGGACGGGUGAGUAAUGCCUAGGAAUCUGCCUGGGAGUGGGGGAUAACGUACGGAAACGGGCGCUAAUACAGCCUACUAGCAGAUGAGCCUAGGUCGGAUUGGCUGGUUGGUGGGGUAAAGGCCUACCAAGGCGACGAUCCGUAACUGGUCUGAGAGGAGGAUCAGUCACACUGGAACUGAGACACGGGCCCGACUCCUACGGGAGGCAGCAUUGGGGAAUAUUGGACAAUGGGCGCAAGCCUGAUGCAGCCAUGCCGCGUGUAUGAAGAAGGCCUUCGGGUUGUAAAGUACUUUCAGCGGGGAGGCGUUACCCGCAGAAGAAGCACCGGCUAACUCCGUGCCAGCAGCCGCGGUAAUAC